AUUGAACGCUGGCGGCAGGCUUAACACAUGCAAGUCGAGCGGGGUGAUGGUGCUUGCACUAUCACUUAGCGGCGGACGGGUGAGUAAUGCUUAGGAAUCUGCCUAUUAGUGGGGGCCAACAUCUCGAAAGGGAUGCUAAUACCGCAUACGUCCUACGGGAGAAAGCAGGGGAUCACUUGUGACCUUGCGCUAAUAGAGGAGCCUAAGUCGGAUUAGCGAGUUGGUGGGGUAAAGGCCUACCAAGGCGACGAUCUGUGGCGGGUCUGAGAGGAUGGUCCGCCACACUGGGACUGAGACCCGGCCCAGACUCCUACGGGAGGCAGCAGUGGGGAAUAUUGGACGAUGGGGGGAACCCUGAUCCAGCCAUGCCGCGUGUGUGAAGAAGGCCUUAUGGUUGUAAAGCACUUUAAGCGAGGAGGAGGCUCUUUUGGUUAAUACCCAAGAUGAGUGGACGUUACUCGCAGAAUAAGCACCGGCUAACUCUGUGCCAGCCGCCGCCGUAA
rnacentral:rRNA from 1 species